GGGAGAGCUGGGCCUUGGACUUGUCGCCAAUGAUCAUGAUGGGUGAGUCCUCCUCCACCUUGUCCUUCUCUGCUAUCGUGCGGCGGGUGGCCUUGGACACGGAGGAGUGGAUACCACCACAAAGACCCUUGUCGGACGAAAUGACGAUGAAAAGUUUGCGCUUGCCAGCGUCCUCCGCGGAGGCAUGCGAGAAUAUUUCUU
rnacentral:misc_RNA from 1 species